rnacentral:rRNA from 1 species
CCUACGGGUGGCAGCAGUGGGGGAUAUUGCACAAUGGGGGAAACCCUGAUGCAGCGACGCCGCGUGGGUGAAGAAGCGCCUCGGCGCGUAAAGCCCUGUCAGCAGGGAAGAAAAUGACGGUACCUGAAGAAGACGCCCCGGCUAACUACGUGCCAGCCGACGCGGUAAUACGUAGGGGGCAAGCGUUAUCGGGAUUUACUGGGUGUAAAGGGGGCGCAGACGGCGAUGCAAGCCAGGAGUGAAAGCCCGGGGCCCAACCCCGGGACUGCUCUUGGAACUGCGUGGCUAGAGUGCAGGAGGGGAAGGCGGAAGUCCUGGUGGAGCGGUGAAAUGCGUAGAUAUCAGGAGGAACACCGGUGGCGAAGGCGGCCUGCUGGACUGCAACUGACGUUGAGGCCCGAAAGCGUGGGGAGCAAACAGGAUUAGAUACCCUAGUAGUC